rnacentral:lncRNA from 1 species
UGAACUCUCAUUUCGCCCUGGCUAGGUAGGACUUCUGUCCAGAUCAUAUGAGUCUGGUUCAGGUCACUCUUCUGGCUUUGGUCAACAUGAGUCUGGCUCAGGACAGUCCUCUGGAUACAGUCAGCACGGAAGUGGCUCAGGGCACUCCUCUAGCCAUGGACAGCAUGGUUCUACAUCAGGACACUCAUUAAGCUUUGGCCAGGAGGGAUCUAGCACAGGCCAGUCUUCCAGGUACAGCCACCAGAGCUCUGGCUCCAGUCAGUCUUCUGGCUAUGGCCGACAUGGGGCUGGAUCUGGCCAGUCUCCUAGCCGUGGCCGACAUGGGUCUGGUUCAGGACAGUCUUCCAGCUACGCCCAGCAUGAGUCUGGCUCAGGACGGUCCUCUGGUUAUAGUCAGCAUGGAAGUGGCUCAGGGCACGCCUCUAGCCAUGGACAACAUGGUUCCACAUCAGGACAGUCCUCAAGCUUCGGCCAGAAGGGAUCUAGCUCAGGGCAGUCUUCCAGCUACGGUCAGCAUGGCUCUGGCUCCCAUCAGUCUUCCGGCCAUGGCCGACAUGGGUCUGGCUCCCAUCAGUAUUCGGGUCGCGGCAGACAUGGGUCUGGAUCUGGCCAGUCUAAAGGCCGCAGCCGACGUGGGUCUGGGUCAGGGCAGUCUCCCAGCUACGGCCAACAUGGGUCUGGCUCAGGUCGUUCUUCCAGCCAUGGCUCAUAUGAGUCUGGUUCAGGUCACUUUUCUGGCUUAGGUCAACAUGAGUCUCGCUUAGGACAGUCCUCUGGUUACAGUCAGCACGGAAGUGGCUCAGGGCACUCCUCUAGCCAUGGACAGCAUGGUUCUACACCAGGACAGUCAUCAAACUUUGGCCAGGAGGGAUCUUGCACAGGCCAGUCUUCCAGCUAUGGCCACCAUGGCUCUGGCUCCAGUCAGUCUUCCGGCUAUGGCCGACACGUGGCUGGAUCUGGUCAGUCUCCUAGCCGCGGCCGACAUGGGCCUGGUUCAGGGCAGUCUUCUAGCUGUGGCCAAUAUGGGUCUGGCUCAGGACAGUCCUCUGGUUAUAGUCAGCAUGGAAGUGGCUCAGGGGCAGGUGGGUAUUCUUAUUGCAAAGGAGGAAGUAACUAUGAAGGUGAAAGUUCUUGCUCAGAUUUUCUCAGUUUUCAUAGUAGGACUUCACCCUAUGAAUAUAUCCAAAAGCAGAGGUGCUACUUUUAGCGUUGAAUAAUAAAUAUAAAUGCA